UAGUCAUAUGCUUGUCUCAAAGAUUAAGCCAUGCAUGUCUAAGUAUAAGUUUUUUACUGCGAAACUGUGAAUGGCUCAUUAUAACAGUUAUUAUUUCCUAGCCGGUCAGUUAUUCCUUGGAUACCCAUGGUAAUUCUAGAGCUAAUACAUGCUUACAGACCCAACUUCACGGAAGGGUUGCGCUUAUUAGAUACCGAACCAACCCCGCAAGGGCUUUAGUUGAUUCAUAGUGUUCUGGCGAAUCGACUCUUAGUCGAUGAGGCUAUCAAGUUUCUGACCUAUCAGCUUCCGACGGUAGGGUAUUGGCCUACCGUGGCUUUGACGGGUAACGGAGAAUUAGGGUUCGAUUCCGGAGAGGGAGCCUGAGAAACGGCUACCACAUCUAAGGAAGGCAGCAGGCGCGUAAAUUACCCAAUCCUGACACAGGGAGGUAGUGACAAGAAAUAUCAAUGCUAGACUUUUAUGUCUUGGAAUUGGGAUGAGCGAAAC
rnacentral:rRNA from 1 species